AUAUUUUCCAUCUUAUUCUGAGAUUUUGACAUAUUCUCUUAUAAUUUGUGUUAAAACAUUCGUUGCUUGUCUGGAUUUGAGUUGGAAAAAUGUCACAAAAUACUAACUGCGGAGGAGUUGGGCCCAACACUAACCAGGGAACCAUGACUGGCAACACUAUUGAUGUGGGAAAUAGUGGAACCAUUGGAUCAGGGAAUACCAUAAACACUGGACAGAAAGGAAAAGUGCAAAUUGGAAACGUGACAGAUAUUAAUGUCGGAACCAACAAAGGACUCAUUGGUUCAGGAAGCAAUACAAUCAACAAAUGAGAAAUCUGCCCUCCGACAGAUUAACUCAAAUGUCGUUCACAAAGUAUUAAAGAUGGAAGUCAUCGUUGAAUUGUAUUGAUGAUAAUAAAGACCACAUGCAAUAUCUGCA